UACGGAGGGGGCUAGCGUUGUUCGGAAUUACUGGGCGUAAAGCGCACGUAGGCGGACUGUUAAGUCGGGGGUGAAAUCCUGGGGCUCAACUCCAGAACUGCCUUUGAUACUGAAGAUCUUGAGUUCGGGAGAGGUGAGUGGAACUGCGAGUGUAGAGGUGAAAUUCGUAGAUAUUCGCAAGAACACCAGUGGCGAAGGCGGCUCACUGGCCCGAUACUGACGCUGAGGCACGAAAGCGUGGGGAGCAAACAGGG
rnacentral:rRNA from 1 species